rnacentral:rRNA from 1 species
ACGGAAGGCAGCAGUAGGGAAUCUUCGGCAAUGGGGGCAACCCUGACCGAGCAACGCCGCGUGAGUGAAGAAGGUUUUCGGAUCGUAAAGCUCUGUUGUAAGAGCAGAACGUGUGUGAGAGUGGAAAGUUCACACAGUGACGGUAACUUACCAGAAAGGGACGGCUAACAAAGUGCAAGCAGACGCGGUAAUACGUAGGUCCCGAGCGUUGUCCGGAUUUAUUGGGCGUAAAGCGAGCGCAGGCGGUUUAAUAAGUCUGAAGUUAAAGGCAGUGGCUUAACCAUUGUUCGCUUUGGAAACUGUUAGCCUUGAGUGCAUAAGCGGAGAGUGGAAUUCCAUGUGUAGCGGUGAAAUGCGUAGAUAUAUGGAGGAACACCGGUGGCGAAAGCGGCUCUCUGGUCUGUAACUGACGCUGAGGCUCGAAAGCGUGGGGAGCAAACAGGAUUAGAUACCCUGGUA